rnacentral:rRNA from 1 species
UGUAUAUUAAAAAAUCGUAACAAGGUUUCCGUAGGUGAACCUGCGGAAGGAUCAUUACAGUAUUCUUUUUGCCAGCGCUUAAUUGCGCGGCGAAAAAACCUUACACACAGUGUUUUUUGUUAUUACAAGAACUCUUGCUUUGGUCUGGACUAGAAAUAGUUUGGGCCAGAGGUUUACUAAACUAAACUUCAAUAUUUAUAUUGAAUUGUUAUUUAUUUUAAUUGUCAAUUUGUUGAUUAAAUUCAAAAAAUCUUCAAAACUUUCAACAACGGAUCUCUUGGUUCUCGCAUCGAUGAAGAACGCAGCGAAAUGCGAUAAGUAAUAUGAAUUGCAGAUUUUCGUGAAUCAUCGAAUCUUUGAACGCACAUUGCGCCCUUUGGUAUUCCAAAGGGCAUGCCUGUUUGAGCGUCAUUUCUCUCUCAAACCUUCGGGUUUGGUAUUGAGUGAUACUCUUAGUCGAACUAGGCGUUUGCUUGAAAUGUAUUGGCAUGAGUGGUACUGGAUAGUGCUAUAUGACUUUCAAUGUAUUAGGUUUAUCCAACUCGUUGAAUAGUUUAAUGGUAUAUUUCUCGGUAUUCUAGGCUCGGCCUUACAAUAUAACAAACAAGUUUGACCUCAAAUCAGGUAGGACUACCCGCUGAACUUAAGCAUAUCAUA